rnacentral:lncRNA from 1 species
ACGAUAUCUUUUCCAAAGGGAAUAGUGAGGAACCUUUGUGUCCGAGUUGGUACCUUAUAUGCCAUGCAGACUUCGUAGUGGUAGAGACCGGAAAUGAUGAGAGAGCACCUAUCAUCCUAGGGAGGCCAUUCUUGAACACCACGGGAGCUAUCAUCUACGCUAGUGCUGCCAAGAUCAGUUUCUACGUCAAAGGGAAGAAGGAGACGUUUUUCUUCAAGAACAAGACUACACCAAUUCAAGAUCAAUCCAUACGUGAAUCAAGGAAGAGGACCAACAGGAGAAACAGGAACAAGCAAGUGUGGACCGAGUCAGCUAAGAUGGUCACUGUAGUCCAUGGAGGCCAAGAUCAUCAACUUAAGUCACCGUUUUUGACCAAGAAGGACGACACAGGAAUGCCAAGCAUCUACUGCUCCAUAAAUGGAUACAACUUCUACAAGACGAUUUGCGACACCGGAUCGGGCGUCAACAUAAUGGCUGCAGUCACUUAUCGGCUCUUGUUCGGGACCAUGCCACUAAGACCAACAUACAUUCAGCUCCAGAUGGCAGAUCAGACAUUUCGAGAAGUUAAAGGAAUAGUAUCUGAUGUCCCAGUCAAAAUAGACGAUCACUUUGUCUACACAGACUUUCAAGUUGUUGACAUGGGAGAAGAUGAGUAUGAUCCACCCAUCAUCCUUGGAAGACCCUUCCUCAGCACCGUUAAAGCAAUUAUCUACAUUGGAACCGGAGAAGUCCAUAUGCACUUCCCCUCAGAGAAGGUACGCCGUUAUUUUACUGAGCCUAACUAUAUCAUUGAAGAAUCUAAGCAGGUCAGAAAAAGACGGAACCGCAACCAGAGGAGGCAGAUCAUCAAGGACGAAUGGGCAGACUAUGAAGGAGAAGUUGUAAGGUCAGAAGACAUUGAAUUUAAACAGAAUUAUCCAGAGGAGAUCGAAGCACCGAGUCAGGUAUGGAAAAUGAAGAUAACUAUACAAGAAGAGGAGGCGCUGCCGGAAGUACCGACUACGCCACCCAACGAACCUCAGGACAAUUAAGAAAUUGGAGAGUCCCGUUCGGAGGACUUAAAAACACCGAACGCGUUGCCAAGAGGUAAACUUGGUAGUUAUCCUUUCCCUUUCAGUUAUUUCAAAUAGUUUACUUAGUUAAUCAUAUUCACACUAUCUUAAAAAGAAAAUAAAAAUGUGAAAAAACAGUAAGCCCCAUGUGAGUAGACGAGUGGCAUAAAACCCAUAAGUACAUUCACUGUGGUGGCAUAAAAAUAAAAAUAAAUAUUUUCUGCUUUAUAAAAUAAAAAUAUAAAAACAGGGAGUAAUAUUUAUUAAGGAGUCUCAAGAUAAUAAAGGCUAGAUAUUUAUGCUAUCACUUAAUAAGUUCCACAAGCUUUGUUGUCUAUUUGGGCUCCACAGAAAUUUAAGAAUCAAGAAGACUAGUAGACGGAGGACAUUCUAAUCGCUGUCAGAAUGCUGCUGACUUUCAAAUACACCUCUACCACCUGCUAGCUACACCAAGAGAAAUUACGUCAAAAUUCAGCUUGGGGGAGAGCACCCCCAUUUAUCACGAUGAGUAUUUCUAUCUAUCUUUAUACUUAUAUUAUUUUAGAAUAUUAAAAUACACAUAAACUAUGGGAAAACCAAAUAAAGAUUUUAUGCUUAUAUAUGUCUUUUGCUUAGUGUGUUAAAUAAAUAAAUAAAGUGGCUAUGCUAAUCUGUAUCUAAAUAAAACUUAAGCAUGGAUAUGAUAAAUAGUUGCUCUGCCUAAUUUGCAAAUUUUAAGUUCUCUCUCAAGUUUAGAUAUAACUGUUAUAAUUUAAAGCUUGCUCUAGACCUAAACUUGUGGGAUGAAAACUUGUUCUGAAGUCUAAGUUGUUAACGGAUAUGAUAUGGGAAGGUUGAGCUGCUGUUUAUCUGUUCCUAGAGAUGCUAGAAUUCUGGAGAAUUUUAUCUUUGAAAAUCUUUAAAAUGUUGCAUGAUGAGUUCCUUUAUGAUGAGAGUUUAAAUUCCUACCACAGCCAUAUAUACAUGCUUGCUAGACUUUGAGCCACACAUUUAAUAUUUACUGCUUAUGAGCAUUGAGUGUGGUCAAGCUGUGUAGACCCUUAGGAGCUUGUCAUGUGGUUAAAUCAAGAUUCACUUGCACGUUCACUCAUAUAUGCUACUUCUACUCCAGAAGUACCAUCCACAUAUAUCCACCCAUUCCAUCUCCAGAAUCACCCAAAAAUAUUCUACUCCUAAUCCGGGAGAGAAUAACCAAAAAUAUUUCUAUUUUCCCCUUGUGAAAUAAAUGCUCAAGUUAUCUUGUUACUACCACUUGCUAUAUUAUCUCAAGAGAUGAAUGCUCUGAAAAAAAAAGAAAUAAAAAGAGAUACGAGGAAAUAAAAAGGAGCAAGUGCUCGGAACCUCGAAAGAAAAGAAAAAGUGAGACGAGAGGUAAAAAUGGACAAGUGUCCGACAGUAGAAUUAGGGGUGCAAGAUACCCACCUGGAAAAAAAAAGAAGAGCAUCUCAUUCUCCUCAUAAAGUUUCAAUAGCAAGGAAGGUAUGUAUCCCCUCAAAGAGCAAAGUAGAAUUAGACUUCCACCACCAUUGUUUUCACCAUUGUUAUCACCAUCACCACCAUACACCAUUCAUUCGCCACCCAUGCACAUCUUGAUUAAACUUAUUGGCUUGUUACUUUGGAUCCAUGGUUUGACUAUACAAUAAAUGUCUUGUAAGUAUGUAUAUUUUAUCUCCCACCUAUGAGCUCCAGAUAUUAAAGCCCUAUUAGAGUAGGGUGAGAGAGAAGGUAAUGUCACUAUGCCUCAUACCACAAAUACUACAUAUCUUGAGAGAAGGCAUAUACCAUCAAUGCCUUGGUAAGGAUCCAAAAAUACCACAAAAGAGAGACCUGAGAGAAUCAUACAAGGAAUUUCUGAGUUUUAUUUGAAAAUUUGCAAAAACCCCAGAGCUAUAGCUGAUCAAGAAUAAGAGACAUGGCACUUGGCUAGACUGUUCUAUCUUUUAACCACUCAAGACAGAAGUGACAGUUACAAGUCCCAUGGUAAAGGUAAAGUAAGUAAUUUUUAAGUCUUGAUAGUUUACUCUUACUCAGAGAUGAGAUCUUAUUAAAAAAGCAUGUGUACCGUCAAAUUUUUUUAAAAAUAUAUAUAUAUAUAUAUAUAUAUUGCAACAACUUAUGAUCCAUAGCUGAGUCUAUCUUUGCUCAGGGACGAGCAAGAGGUAAGCUUGGGGGAGUUUGUUGACGGUCCUUAAGUAUCAAAUUUAAUUAUCAAAUAAAUAAAGAAAAGGAUCCAAAUGAAAUCAAGAUCAAGACUUAGGGUUUUAUCUGACAGAAUUCCACGAGUUUUGGUGUUUGUCUAUUUCUGCAGGGGGUUAUCAGGAAAUAUGGAAGAAAGGCCCACAUGUCAGGAUUACGUAAAGAUAUUAACGUGCUGCGCAAUUAUCUUACAUCUAGAAGACUCCAGAAGCCACGAGACCGAAGCGGAGGCGAAACGGGGCCAGACCCUGGGCGGCCGCCCAGUUGGUCAGGGCGCCCGCCCUGCCCCUGAGUCCAAUCAGGACUCUGCUUUGCGGGAGAUCUCCACCGACCUAAAGGAUGAAUCCAAACCAUACAAUCUAUGUCGGUUUGAUCCAAGGGCCCAUAUUCACUUGAAGGGACUAUAAAACCAGACCCCCUGGCCCCUGGAGGAGAGAGCCUCUCAACCCUAAUUCAUUGUUCCAUCAAGGAGAGAAGAAGCCUCUGAUCAAGAUUAGAGCCACCACAUCAAUUAGAUAUCUAGAUUAGCAUAGCUACAUAGGAUUAGAACUAGAAGGAGUCAAUCUUCGAUUGGUUUCCGGAUCUGUCAGGAGGAUUCUUGGUAAUUCUCUAAUUGUGCUUCUAAUUGCUUUCUAAUUAUCUUUGUUCUGCAAUAUUAUGAAUAUGACUUUAUUCUACUUCAAUAUAUUGCUUAUAAGUUUGCUCUACUUGUUUAUAUUCGCAAUUAUAUUGUUCUUAGUUUAUCAUAGUUAUGUACUUGGCUUAGUUAGAUUGGAAAUAUAUACAUGUUUAGGAUCGUAUAGCGUUUAUCCAUCGGAUCCAUGGGUAAAUGAUAGAUAUUGUGUAGGCGUGGUGCUUAUACCGUAUUUAUCUGCGAUUGUACCCUAUAUGCCAGAUCGCGGGGUAGUUCGUGGUAGUGACAGCUCCAUUGAUUCUUAUAUAAUCCCCCUCUCGUGUAUUGGGCUAGCAGAGCAACAUUAUUACAGGGGAGUGACUACGAUGUUUCUCAUAUUCCUUGCUAAUAUCACUAUGCAUGGGCGUAGUCCUGUCUCGCAAUGAUUGCUAAGUAUAAUUGCACUAACUACGAUAUGCUAGACUGUAUAGUUGAGAAUAACUUAGGAAAUAUUAUUGUAGUUCAUCCUAAUUCCAUGCUAAUGACUUGCUAGAAUAUCUAAUUAAGGUUCUUAUCAUAUUUAUUAUGUUGCUAAGUUGUGCUGAUCAGAUUAAUUAUCUUUGUCACUAUUCAUUACUUUAUAUAUCCUUUAUGUGACACUUAUCCCUAUAUGAAAGAGUUAGAUAAAUGUUCUCAAUUAUACAUGCAAUGAUAGAUACUCAAUCUUAUAUUCCAUUCUAUAAUCAACAUUGAUGGUAACUAAUCCCUUCCCAGUGGUAAAAAUAUAAAUAACGAUUCCUGGAAUACUUCCCGGUUAAAAUGCUACAUCGGUAUUAAUUUAUGCGCUUGCAGAUCCCAUUUAUUAUUUAUUUAGAUGAGCAAUUGCAUAUUUUAAUACCGCGUCUUUCAUGUCAUGCUGGGGAUGACAACUUGGCUUAAGUGGCAUGGGAGAUAGGUUUGGCAUUUUUGACGCCGUUAUCAGAAUUAGAGAACUAAGUCUACUUUUGGUAAUGACGUUAAGAAUACCCAACAAGCAUUUUUGGCGCUGUUGUCGGGGAAGGUUGAUUACUAAUUAGGAAUGGAUAUAGGAUAUUGAGUCAUCAUUCGCAUCACUAAUAUGAUUGACCUUAUCAAUUCUCUCAUACAGUUUUACCCUGAUAUUUUUCUAUUUUAUCUUAUGCAGAGUAAUGUAUGAAUAGAAGACAUCUUCCAGGAAAUUUUGUUGACAAUUAUUCAGAAAAACAAGAGCCAAGCUCAAGAAGAGAUCAUCAACACUUCAGCAAGAAGCUUCAUCCAAUCAAGAAGAUCACCAGAACUUGUCUUCAGAGUUCGAAGCCAUGGCGAACAAAUCGAUCCGUGAGUUCUCAGCUCCCACUACGGACAACAUCCGCACUGGACCUGCUGCAGAGAUCGACGACAACUUUGAGCUCAAGCCUGGACUUAUCAACAUGGUGCAAUCCAACCAGUUCUGUGGGAAGGCACAUGAAGAUGCUAGUGCUCAUCUCCAACACUUCCUGGAGAUUUGCAGCACAUUUACCAUAUCAGGAGUCCCCAGAGAUGCUAUGCUACUUCGCCUCUUCCCAUUCUCACUGUUAGGAAGAGCGAAACAGUGGUUCUACACUACAAAGGAGAAGAAUACUACGUGGGCACUCUGCUCCAUGAACUUUCUAGCUAAGUUCUUUCCCAUGGGCAAGACCAAUGCUCUCCGUGGGAAGAUUACAAGUUUUCAGCAACAACAUGAUGAAUCCGUUCCAGAAGCAUGGGAGCGCUUCCAAGACUACAUCCUAGAUUGUCCCGAUCAUGGAAUGGAGAGUUGGCUACUGAUGCAGACAUUUUAUCAUGGGCUCGGCAACAGUGCCCGAGUAACCAUGGAUGCUGCAGCUGGAGGAGCAUUCUUAUCACUUACCAUAUCACAAGCCACAGCUCUUGUGGAGAAGAUGGCGUCAAACCAAAGCUGGAAUGAAGAGAGGACCCAGACACGCAAGAAAGGUGGAGGCAUACAUCAGCUCAAGAAGGUAGAUAUGCUAUCUGCAAAGCUAGACCUGCUCAUGAAGAAGCUCGAUGAUAGAGCUGGAGAUAAGAAAUAAGUUAUGCACAUCUACGACUCUCACAUGACUUGUGAGGAGUGUGGAGAUACUGGAUACUCAGGCAAACACUGCUCUGAGAUGCUUGAGGAUGUGAACUACAUCAACAAUAACAACAACAACAACUACUACUACAACCGUCCUCAACAAAAUCAAGGUUGGAAUCAACAGAGGCCUAACUACUCAAGUAAUUAUCAACUUAACAAUUCUUACAAUAAUAAUUUUCCACCUCUGAGAGAGUUAGUGUCUAAUCAAGGAAAGCUAAUGGAUAUCCUAUCUAAGAAAUUGGCAUCUAAUGAUAAAAUGCAAGAAAAUAUAAAUAAUAGAAUGGAUAAUUUCUCUACUGCCAUCAAGAAUCAAAUUAGCUUUAAUAAAAUGAUUGAAUCUCAAUUAAAUCAAAUAGCUGCUGUUGUUCCUACUACUAACCCCGGUAUACUAUCACAACUGGAAGGAUUAGAAUCUGCAAAUCUUGUAGACAUGUUUGAUGCUGGUAACUGGAGUAACCCCGUCACGGAAGUUACUACUGACCUUCUACCGGUCAAGAGAGGCGAUCUAGGGCGCUCCGUCAUCCCGAUCUCCAUCGGCAUGGUGGACUUCCCAGAAGCACUCUGCGACUUUGGCUCCAGCGUCAACAUUAUGCCCAGGGUACUCUAUGAAAAAUUCUUUACAUAUCCUUUAUUAGAAAAAACUAUGUUUUUGUAGUUUGCAGAUCAGACGAUAAGUUUUCCAAAAGGAAUAUUGAAGAACCUCUGCGUCCUAGUUGGUACCUUGUAUGUCCCAGCAGACUUCGUGGUGAUAGAGACCGGUAAUGAUGAGAGGGCACCCAUCAUCUUAGGGAGGCCACUCUUAAACACCUCGGGAGCUGUCAUCUACGCCAGUGCUGCCAAGAUCAGUUUCUACAUCAAAGGGAGAAAGGAGACGUUUUCCUUCAAGAACAAGACUAGACAAAUCCCAGAGCAAUCUAGAUGUGAAUCAAGGAAGAGGACCAACAGGAGGAACAGAAACAAGCAAGUGUGGACCGAGUCAGCUAAGAUGGUCACUGCAGUUCAAGGAGGUCAAGAUCAUCAACUUAAGUCACCAUUUCUGACCAAGAAGGACGACCCAGGAAUGCCAAGCAUCUAUUGCUCCAUAAAUGGAUACAACUUCUACAAGACGUUUUGCGACACCGGAUCGGGCGUCAACAUAAUGGCCGCAGUCACCUAUCUGCUCUUGUUCGGAACCAUGCCCUUAAAACCAACAUACAUUCAGCUCCAGAUGGCAGAUCAGACAUUUCGAGAGGUUGAAGGAACAGUGACUGAUGUCCCAGUCAAAGUAGACGAUCAUUUUGUCUACACAGACUUUCAGGUUAUAGAUAUGGGAGAAGAUGAAUACGAUCCACCCAUCAUUCUUGGAAGACCGUUCCUCAGCACCGUUAAAGCAAUCAUCUACAUUGGAACUGGAGAAGUCCAUAUGCACUUCCCCUCAGAGAAGGUACGCUGCUAUUUUACUGACCCUAACUAUAUCGUUGAAGACUCUAAGCAGGUCAAAAACGACGCAACCGCAACCAGAGGAGGCAAAUCAUCAAGGACGGAUGGGCAGACUAUGAAGGAGAAGUGGUAAGGUCAGAACACAUACAGUUUAAACAGAAUUAUCUAGAGGAGACUGUAGCACCAAGUCAGGUGUGGAGAGAGAAGAUAACUAUACACGAAGAAGAGGCGCCGUCGGAAGUACCGACGACGCCACCCAACGAAUCCCAGGACGACCGAGAAAACGGAGAGUCCCGUUUGGAGGACUUAAAAACACCAAACGCCUUGCCAAGAGGUAAACUUGGUAGUUAUACUUUCCCUUUCAAUUAUUUUAAAAUAGUUAGCUUAGUUAGUUAUGUUCAGACUAUCCUAAAAAGAAAAUAAAAAUGUUAAAAAAAUAGUAAGUCCCAUGUGAGUAUAUGAGUGGCAUAAACCCCAUAAGUACAUUGACUGUGGUGGCAUAAAAAUAAAAUAAAUAUUUCUUUUCUGCUUUAUACAAUGAAAAUAAAAAAAUUAGGGAGUAACAUUUAUUGAGGAGGCUCAACAUGAUAAAGGCUAAAUAUUUAUGCUAACACCUAAUCAGCUCCACAAAGCUUUGUUGUCUAUUUGAGCUCCACAAAAUUUAAGAAUCAAGAAGACUAGCAGAUAGAGGACAUUCUAAUCGCUGUCAAGAUACUGCCGACUUUCAAAUACACCUCUGCCACCUGCUAGCUACAUCAAAAUAAAUUACGUCAAAAUUCAGCUUGGAGGAGAGCACUCCCAUUUAUCUCGCUAAGUAUUUCUAUCUAUCAUUAUACUUGUACUAUACUAAAAUAUAAAUAUACAUUACUAUGAAAAACCAAAUAAAUAUUUUAUACAUAUAUAUAUAUCUUUUGCUUAGUAUGUUUAAUAAAUAAAUAAAUAAAGUGGCUAUGCUAAACUGAAUCUUAAUAAUAAAACUCUAGCAUGGAUAUGAUGAAUAGUUGCUCUGCCUAAUUUUUAAAUUUGAGUACUUUCUCUAGUUUAGACAUAACUGUUAUAAUUUAAAGCUUGCUCUAAACCUGAACUUGUGGGAAGAGAACUUGAUCUGAAGUCUAAGUUGUUAACGGAUAUGAUAUGGGAAGGUUGAGCUGUUGUUUAUCUGUUCCUAGAGAUGCUAGAAUUCUGGAGAAUUUUAUCUUUGAAAAUCUUUAAAAUAUCACAUGAUGAGUUCCUGUAUGAUGAGAGUUUAAAUUCCUACCACAGUCAUAUAUACAUGCUUGCUAGACUUUGAGCCACACAUUUACAUUUUUACUGUUUAUGAGCAUUGAGUGUGGUCAAGCUGUGUAGACCCUUAGGAGCUUGUCAUGUGGUUAAAUCAAGAUUCACUUGCACGUUCACUCACACAUGCUGCUUCUACUCCGGAAGUACCGUCCACAUAUAUCCACUCAUUUCCAUCUCCAGAACCACCCAAAAAUAUUCUACUCCUAAUCUGGGAGAGAAUAGCCAAAAACAUUUCUGUUUUUCCCCUGUGAAAUAAAUGCUCAAGUUAUCUUGUUACUACCACUUGGUAUAUUAUUUCAUGAGAUGAGUGCUCUAAAAAAAGAGAAUACGAGGAAAUAAAAAGGGGCAAAUGCCCGAAACCUCGAAAGAAAAGAAAAAGUGAGACGAGAGGUAAAAAUGGACAAGUGUCCGACAGUAGAAUUAGGGGUACAAGAUACCCACCUGAGAGGAAAAAAAGAAAAGAGAGAGCAUCUCAUUCUCCUCAAGUUUCAAAAGAGCAAGAAAGGUAUAUAUCCCCUCAAAAGAGCAAAAGUAGAAUUAGACAUUCACCAUUGUUAUCACCAUCAUCACCAUACGCCAUUCAUUCGCUACACAUGCACAUAUUGAUUUGAUUUAUUGACUUGUUUCUCUGGAUCCAUGGUUUAACUAUGCAAUAAAUGUCUUGUGAGUAUGUAUACUUUAUCUCCCACCUAUGAGCUCCAGAUAUUAAAAGCCUUAUUAGAGUAGGGUGAGAGAGAAGGCAAUGUCACUAUGCCUUAUACCACAAAUACUACAUAUUUGGAGAGAAGGCAUAUACCAUCACUGCCUUGGUAAAGAUCCAGAAAUACCACAAAAGAGAGAUCUGAGAGAGUCAUACAAGGAAUCUCUGAGUUUUAUUUGAAAAUCUACAAAAACUCCAGAGCUAUAGCUGAUCAAGAAUAAGAGAAUGGCACUUGAUUAGACCGUUCUAUCUUUUAACUACUCAAGACAGAAGUGACGGUUACAAGUCCCAUGGUAAAAGGUAAAAUGAAUAAGUUUUAAGUCUUGACAGUUUACUCUAACUCAGAGAUGAGAUCUUAUUUAAAAGCAUGUGUACCGUCAAUUUUUAAAGAUAUUGCAGCAACUUCUGAUCCAUCACUGAGUCUAUCCUUGCUCAGGGACGAGCAACAGGUAAGCUUGGGGGAGUUUGUUGACGGUCCUUAAGUAUUAAAUUUAAUUAUCAAAUAAACAGAGAAAAGGAUCCAAAUGAAAUCAACAUCUAGACUUAGGGUUUUAUCUGACAGAAUUCCACGAGUUUUGGUGUUUGUCUAUUUCUGCAGGGGGUUAUCAGGAAAUACAGAAGAAAGGCCCACAUGUCGGGAUUACAUAGAGAUAUUAACGUGCCACGCAAUUAUCUUACAUCUAGAAGACUCUAGAAGCCACGAGAACGAAGCGGAGGCAGAACGGGGCCUGGCCUAGGGCGCCCGCCCUAGGGACCAGGGCGCCCGCCCCCUUUAGAGUUCAAUUAGGACUCUCUUUUAGGAUUAAGCUCCACUGACCUAAAGGAUCAAGGAUAACCGUUCAAUCAAUGUCAGUUUGAUCCGACGGCCCAUAUUCACUUAGAGGGACUAUAAAACCAGACCCCCUGGCCCCUAGAGGAGACAGCCUCUCAACCCUAAUUCAUUAUUCAUCAAGGGAGAAGAAGCCUCUGAUCAAGCCUAGAGCCACCACAUCAAUUAGACAUCUAGAUUAGCAUAGCUACAUAGGAUUAGAACUAGAAGGAGUCAAUCUUCAAUUGGUUUCCGGAUCUGUCAAGAGGAUUGUUGGUAAUUCUCUAUUGUUCUUCUAUUGUUCAUCUUUGUUCUUCAAUAUUAUGAAUAUGACUUUGUUCUACUUCAAUAUAUUGCUUAUGACUUUGCUCUACUUGUUUAUAUUCGCAAUUAUAUUGUUCUUAGUUUAUCAUAGUUAUGUACUUGGCUUAGUUAGAUUGGAAUUAUAUACAUGUUUAGGAUCGUAUAGCGUUUAUCCAUCGGAUCCAUGGGUAAAUGAUAGAUAUUGUGUAGGCGUGGUGCUUAUACCAUAUUUAUCUGCGAUUGUACCCUAUAUGCCAGAUCGCGGGGUAGUUCGUGGUAGUGACAGCUCUAUUGAUUCUUAUAUUGUCCCCCUCUCGUGUAUUGGGCUGGCAGAGCAACAUUAUUACAGGGGAGUGAUUACGAUGUUUCUCAUAUUCCUUGCUAAUAUCACUAUGCAUGGGCGUAGUCCUGUCUCGCAAUGAUUGCUAAGUAUAAUUGCACUAACUAUGAUAUGCUAGACUGUAUAGUUGAGAAUAACUUAGGAAAUACUCUUGUAGUUCAUCAUAAUUCCAUGCUAAUGACUUUCUAGAAUAUCUAAUUGAGGUGCUUAUCAUAUUUAUUAUGUGGCUAAGUUAUGCUGAUCAGAUUAAUUAUCUUUGUCACUAUUCAUUACUUCAUAUAUCCUUUAUGUGACACUUAUCCCUGUAUGAAAGAGUUAGAUAAAUGUUCUCAAUUAUACAUGCAAUGAUAGAUACUCAAUCUUAUAUUCCAUUCUAUAAUCAACAUUGAUGGUUACUAAUCCCUUCCCAGUGGUAAAAAUAUAAAUAACGAUACCUAGAAUACUUCCCGGUUAAAAUGCUACAUCGGUAUUAAUCUGUGCGCUUGCAGAUCCCAUUUAUUAUUUAUUUAGAUGACCAAUUGCAUAUUUCAAUACCACGUCACUUAUGUCAUGCUGGGGAUGACAACUUGGCUUAAGUGGCCUUAGGGAUAGGUUUGGCAUUUUUGGCACCGUUAUCAGAAUUAGAAAACUAAGUCUACUUUUGGUAAUGACGUUAAGAAUGCCCAACAAGCAUUUUUGGCGCCGUUGCCGGGGAUGGUUGAUUACUAAUCAGGAAUGAAUAUAGGAUUUUGAGUUAUCAUUCGCAUCACUAAUAUGAUUGAGCUUAUCAAUUCUCUCAUACAGUUUUACCCCGAUAUUUUUUCUAUUUUAUCUUAUGCAGGGGAGUGUAUGAAUAGAAGACAUCUUCCAGAAAAUUUUUUUGACAAUCCCGAAGCGUUAUUCAGAAAAACAAGAGCCAAGCUCAAGAAGAGAUCAUCAACACUUCAGCAAGAAGCUUCAUCCAAUCAAGAAGAUCAUCGGAACUUGUCUUCAGAAUUCGAAGCCAUGGCGAACAAAUCGAUCCGUGAGUUCUCAGCUCCCACUACGGACAACAUCCGCACUGGACCUGCUGCAGAGAUCGAUGGCAACUUUGAGCUCAAGCGUGGACUUAUCAACAUGGUGCAAUCCAACCAGUUCCGUGGGAAGGCACAUGAAGAUGCUAGUGCUCAUCUCCAACACUUUGUGGAGAUUUGCAGCACAUUCACCAUAUCAGGAGUCCCCAGAGAUGCUAUACUACUUCGCCUCUUUCCAUUCUCACGGUUGGGGAGAGCGAAGCAAUGGUUCUAUGCUACAAAAGGAGAAUAAUACUACAUGAGCACUCUGCUCCACGAACUUUCUAGCUAAGUUCUUUCCCAUGGGCAAGACCAAUGCUCUUCGUGGGAAGAUUACAAGUUUUCAGUAACAACAUCAUGAAUCCGUUCCAGAAGCAUGGGAGCGCUUCCAAGACUACAUCCUAGAAUGUCCCCAUCAUUGAAUGGAGAGUUGGCUACUGUUGCAGAUGUUUUAUCAUGGGCUCGGCAACAGUGCCCGAGAGACCAUGGAUGCUGCAGCCAGAGGAGUAUUCUUAUCACUUACCAUACCACAAGCCACAGCUCUUGUGGAGAAGAUGGCGUCCAACCAAAGCUAGAUUGAAGAGAGGACCCAGACACGCAAGAAAGGUGGAGGUAUGCAUUAGCUCAAGGAGAUAGACAUGCUAUCUGCAAAGCUAGACCUGCUCAUGAAGAAGCUCGAAGAUAGAGCUGGAGAUAAGAAAGAAGUUAUGCACAUCUACGACUCUCACAUGACUUGUGAGGAGUGUGGAGAUAUUGGACACUAAGGCAAUCACUACCCUGAGAUGCUUGAGGAUGUGAACUACAUCAACAACAACAACAACUACUACUACAACCGUCCUCAACAAAAUCAAGGUUGGAAUCAACAGAGGCCUAACUACUCAGGUAAUUAUCAAGGUAACAAUUCUUACAACAAUAAUAAUAAUUUUCCACCUCUGAGAGACUUAGUGUCUAAUCAAGGAAAGCUAAUGGAUAGUCUAUCGAAGAAAUUGGCAUCUAAUGAUAAAAUGCUAGAAAAUAUAAAUAAUAGAAUGGAUAAUUUCUCUACUGCCAUCAAGAAUCAAAUUAGCUUUAAUAAAAUGAUUGAAUCUCAGUUAAAUCAAAUAGCUGCUGCUGUUCCUACUACUAACCCUGGUAUACCAUCACAACCGGAAGGAUUAGAAUCUACAAAUCUUGUAGACAUGUUUGAUGUAGGUAACUGGAGUAACCCCAUCACUGAAGUUACUACUGACCUUCUGCCGGUCAAGAGAGGCGAUCCCGAACGCCCUGUCAUCCCGAUCUCCAUCGGCAUGGUGGACUUCCGAGAAGCACUCUGUGACUUUGGCUCCAGUGUCAACAUUAUGCCCAGUGUACUCUAUGAAAAAUUCUUUACAUAUCCUUUAUCAGAAACAACCAUGUGUUUGUAGUUUGUAGAUCAGGCGAUAAGUUUUCCAAAAGGAAUAUUGAAGAACUUCUGUGUCCGAGUUGGUACCUUGUAUGCUCCAGUAGACUUCAUGGUGAUAGAGACUAGUAAUGAUGAGAGGGCACCCAUCAUCUUAGGGAGGCCAUUCUUAAACACCUCGGGAGCUGUCAUCUACAUUAGUGCUGCCAAGAUCAGUUUCUACAUCAAAGGGAGGAAGGAGACAUUUUCCUUCAAGAACAGGACUACACAAAUCCGAGAGCAAUCCAAACAUGAACCAAGGAAGAGGACCAACAGGAGGAACUGAAACAAUCAAGCGUGGACCGAGUCAGCUAAGAUGGUCACUGCAGUUCAUGGAGGUCAAGAUCAUCGACUUAAGUCACUAUUUUUGACCAAGAAGGAUGACCCAGGAAUGCCAAGCAUCUAUUGCUCCAUAAAUGGAUACAACUUCUACAAGACAACUUGCGACACCGGAUCGGGCGUCAACAUAAUGGCCGCAGUCACCUAUCGACUCUUGUCCGGAACCAUGCCCCUAAAACCAACAUACAUUCAACUCCAGAUGGCAGAUCAGACAUUUCGAGAGGUUAAAGGAACAGUGACUGAUGUCCCAGUCAAAAUAGACGAUCAUUUUGUCUACACAGACUUUCAGGUUAUUGACAUGGGAGAAGACGAGUACAAUCCACCCUUCAUCCUUGGAAGACCGUUCCUCAGCACCGUUAAAGCAAUCAUCUACAUUGGAACUGGAGAAGUCCAUAUGCACUUCCCCUCAGAGAAGGUACGCCGCUAUUUUACUGACCCUAACUAUAUCGUUGAAGACUCUAAGCAGGUCAGAAAACGACGCAACCGCAACCAGAGGAGGCAAAUCAUCAAGGACGGAUGGGCAGACUAUGAAGGAGAAGUGGUAAGGUUAGAAGAUGUACAGUUUAAACAAAAUUAUCCAAAGGAGACUAUAGCACCGAGUCUGGUAUGGAAAGAGAAGAUAACUAUACAUGAAGAGGAGGCGCUGCCGGAAGCACCGACUACGCCACCCAACGAAUCCUAGGACAAGUGAGAAAACGGAGAGUCCCGUUCGGAGGACUUAAAAACACUGAAUGCCUUGCUAAGAGGUAAACUUGGUAGUUAUCCUUUCCCUUUCAAUUAUUUAAAAUAGUUUACUUAGUUCAUGCUAUCCUAAAAAGAAAAUAAACAUGUUAAAAAAAUAGUAUGCCCCAUGUGAGUAUAUGAGUGGCAUGAAACCCAUAAGUACAGUCACUGUGGUGGCAUAAAAAUAAAAUAAAUAUUUCUUUUUCUACUUUAUAAAAUAUAGGGAGUAAUAUUUAUUAAGGAGUCUCAACAUGAUAAAGGCUAGAUAUUUAUGCUAACACUUAAUCAGUUCCACAAAGCUUUGUUGUCUAUUUGAGCUCCACAGGAUUCAAGAAUCAAGAAGACUAGCAGACGGAGGACAUUCUAAUCGCUGUCAUACUACCGACUUUCAAAUACACCUCUGCCACCUGCUAGCUACAUCAGGAGAAAUUACGUCAAAAUUCAGCUUGGGGGAGAGCACCCCCAUUUAUCCCGCUAAGUAUUUCAAUCUAUCUUUAUACUUAUACUUAUAUAAAUAUACAUAACUAUGGAAAACCAAAUAAACAUUUUAUACUUAUAUAUAUAUCUUUUGCUUAGUGUGUUUAAAAAAUAAAUAAAGUGGCUAUGCUAAACUAAAUCUAAAUAAAACUCUAGCAUGGAUAUGAUGAAUAGUUGCUCUGCCUAAUUUUCAAAUUUGAGUUUUCUCUCAAGUUUAGACAUAACUGUUAUAAUUUAAAGCUUGCUCUAAACCUAAACUUGUGGGAAGAAAACUUUAUCUGAAGUCUAAGUUGUUAUCGGAUAUGAUAUGGGAAGGUUGAGCUGUUGUUUAUCUGUUCCUAGAGAUGCUAGAAUUUUGGAGAAUUUUAUCUUUGAAAAUCUUUAAAAUGUUGCAUGAUGAGUUCCUAUAUGAUGAGAGUUUAAAAUCCUACACAGCCAUAUAUACAUGCUUAUUAGACUAUUUACCAUACAUUUACUUUUUUACUGCUUAUGAGCAUUGAGUGUGGUCAAGCUGUGUAGACCCUUAGGAGCUUGUCAUGUGGUUAAAUCAAGAUUCACUUGCACGUUCACUCACAUAUGCUGCUUCUACUAUGGAAGUACCAUCUACAUAUAUCCACCCAUUUCCAUCUCGAGAACCACCCAAAAAUAUUCUACUCCUAAUCCGAGAGAGAAUAGCCAAAAAAUAUUUCUAUUUUUCUCUUGUGAAAUAAAUGCUCAAAUUAUCUUUGUUACUACCACUUGCUAUAUUAUCUCAAGAGAUGAGUGCUCUAAAAAAAGGGAUACGAGGAAAUAAAAAGGGGCAAGUGCCCGGAACCUCGAAAGAAAAGAAAAAGUGAGACGAGAGGUAAAAAUGGACAAGUGUCCGAUAGUAGAAUUAGGGGUACAGAAUACCCACCUGAGAGGAAAGAAAAAGAAAAUAUAGAGCAUCUCAUUCUCCUCACAAAGUUUUAAAAGAGCAAGGAAGGUAUGUAUCCCCUCAAAAGAGCAAAAGUAGAAUUAGACUUUCACCAUACACCAUUCAUUUGCCACACAUGCACAUCUUGAUUUGACUUAUUGGCUUGUUUAUUUGGAUCCAUGGUUUGACUAUGCAAUAAAUGUCUUGUAAGUAUGUAUAUUUUAUCUCCCACCUAUGAGCUCCAGAUAUUAAAGCCUUAUUAGAGUAGGA